rnacentral:rRNA from 1 species
CGGCAACAGCUCAAAUUUGAAAUCUGGCACUUGUGCCCGAGUUGUAAUUUGUAGAGGAUAGUUCUGGCAAGGCGCCUUCUGAGUUCCCUGGAACGGGACGCCAGAGAGGGUGAGAGCCCCGUACGGUUGGACGCCGCGCCUUUGUGUACUUCCUUCGAC